rnacentral:rRNA from 1 species
GUUCGAUUAUGGUUGUUGGUGAGGUAAUGGCUCACCAAGCCAAUAAUCGAUAGGGGCCGUGAGAGCGGGAGCCCCGAGAUGGGUACUGGGACAACGACCCAGGCCUUACGAGGCGCAGCAGGCGCGAAACCUCCGCAAUACACGAAAGUGUGACGGGGUUACCCAAAGUGUUCAAUUUUGAACUGUGGUAGGUGAGUAAUGUUCCCUACUAGAAAGGAGAGGGCAAGGCUGGUGCCAGCCGCCGCGGUAAAGCCAGCUCUUCAAGUGGUCGGGAUAAUUAUUGGGCUUAAAGUGUCCGUAGCCGGUUUAGUAAGUUCCUGGUAAAAUCGGGUAGCUUAACUAUCUAUAUGCUAGGAAUACUGCUAUACUAGAGGGCGGGAGAGGUCUGAGGUACUACAGGGGUAGGGGUGAAAUCUUAUAAUCCUUGUAGGACCACCAGUGGCGAAGGCGUCAGACUGGAACGCGCCUGACGGUGAGGGACGAAAGCCAGGGGAGCGAACCGGAUUAGAUACCCGGGUAGUCCUGGCCGUAACGAUGCAUACUAGGUGAUGGUACGGCCAUGAGCCGUGUCAGUGCCGUAGGGAAACCGUUAAGUGUGCCGCCUGGGAAGUACGGUCGCAAGGCUAAAACUUAAAGGAAUUGGCGGGGGAGCACCACAAGGGGUGAAGCCUGCGGUUCAAUUGGACCCAACGCCGGAAAACUUACCAGGGGAGACAGCAGUAUGACGGUCAGGUUGACGACCUUACCUAACGAGCUGAGAGGAGGUGCAUGGCCGUCGCCAGUUCGUGCCGUGAGGUAUCCUGUUAAGUCAGGCAACGAACGAGAUCCGCACCUUUAUUUGCCACCAAGAAGUCACGACUUCGUUGGGAACACUAAAGGGACCGCCGUCGAUAAGACGGAGGAAGGAGCGGGCAAAGGCAGGUCAGUAUGCCCCGAAACCCCUGGGCUACACGCGGGCUGCAAUGGUAUGAACAAUGGGCUGUGACUCCGAAAGGAGAAACCAAUCCCGAAAUCAUAUCUCAGUUGGAAUUGUCGGCUGUAACCCGCCGACAUGAACGCGGAAUCCCUAGUAAUCGUGUGUCAUCAUCGCACGGUGAAUACGUCUCUGCUCCUUGCACACACCGCCCGUCGCUCCAUCCGAGUGUGCUAAAAAUGAGGUUUGGUCAAUUUGGUCAUAUCGAGUUUCUAGUAUGCGAGGAGGGAGAAGUCGUAACAAGGUA